rnacentral:rRNA from 1 species
UGCCACAGCCAUAUCACCCUGCAGCCCAAGACCGGUUACUCACUGAAGUUAAGCAGGGCUGAGCCUGGUUGGUACCUGGAUGGGAGACCACUAGGGAACACUAGGUUGCUGUUGGAA